rnacentral:rRNA from 1 species
AUUGAACGCUGGCGGCAGGCUUAACACAUGCAAGUCGAGCGAGCGGCGGACGGGUGAGUAAUGUAUGGGAAACUGCCUGAUGGAGGGGGAUAACUACUGGAAACGGUAGCUAAUACCGCAUAACAUCAGAUGUGCCCAGAUGGGAUUAGCUCGUAGGUGGGGUACUGGCUCACCUAGGCGACGAUCCCUAGCUGGUCUGAAAGGAUGACCAGCGCCACUGGAACUGGGACACGGUCCGGACGCCUACUGGAGGCAACAGUGGGGAAAAUUGCACAAUGGGCGCAAGCCUUAUGCAGCCAUGCCGCGUUUGUGAAGAAGGCCUUCGGGUUGUAAAGCACUUUCAGCGAGGAGGCGUUACUCGCAGGAGAAGCACCGGCUAACUCCGUGCCAGCAGCCCCGGUAAUAC